rnacentral:lncRNA from 1 species
ACCUCAGCACAGGCAGAUGUUUCACUGGCAUCUCAGCGCAGUGCUUGUUUCGCUUAGGGAGGUGACCAUCAAAUGCCAUCAGAUUUGACCAAAGCAAGCUAUAUGGGCUUCUAGAAAACAUUUUGAAGUUUUUCCUGGAAGAACAGCUUUAUCAAGUAGCAGCACAUCCAGUAGAAAAGAGAAGGCCCUUUGGACACGUAAGCAAAAUCUACAUGAAUCACUCAAUACAUGUGUGUUAUAAAAAUGCAUGUGUCUUGAUAUAAUAGAAGAUUGAUUUUUUUUAUUAUUAUUCUUAGAAUGGUUGUUUGAGACUUGUUCUGCCACAUUGAGCACAAGAUAAAUUUUGGUUUGAGAUACUAAACAGUGCUUGAAUUUCAGUUGUCUAUAAAGCUAAUUGAUCUUCCACUCUUUUUUUCUGGAACAGAGGUGUGUAAGGUUUUUAUGUACUUUUAGGUAAUUAGGACAGUAGAGAUAAAACUCCCUUUCUUAUCCCCUAUAGUGCUUCAGAAAUCAGGCUUCUUACAUCCAAGAAAACUUUUAAGUUUAUCAUUCCUCUUAACACAUAUUAUAGCUGUCUAAAAGCGUGUUCUUGCUUUUGCACAAGUUCUGUGCUCUGAUUA